rnacentral:lncRNA from 1 species
GCCAACAUACUAUGCCAAUUUUGUUCCACUUAAUCCCUAUUUCAUGGCCACAUAUCUUUCAGGCUAAGGAAUGUCUCCUAAUCAAUUCAUAAUUUAAUAAAGCUUCAUGAAUCUUUCUCCGUCUUGACAUAAAAUAUCAUUUCUGGAUAUAGCUGAAGAGAUCUAGAAUUGAAUUGUUUACUUAGCAUAAAUAAUGCUAUCAAGUAACAACCAAUUAUUCGCAAUAGUUGUUGCUUAUUAAAAUAAUAGGUUGUCCUUAACUUAAAAUUAUAUACUAUAUUCAAAAUAAUUUGUAUCGCAUUAAGAAUUUAAUUUACAACUUCAUUUGGUUUAUAUUGGUUGCUGCCAUAUUAACACUAUACCUACUUUUUUUUUUUAAACUAAAACCUCUUUGUUCAUGCUAACUUAUCUAUUAAAUUAGCUAUUAAUUCGAUACUGAAUUAGAAAAUCAAAUUUCUCUAGUAAAAAUAUGCAUGAACAAUAUGAGUUAGGGUCUAAUUUCUGCAAUAGUAAAUUCAUGAUUCAAAUCCACCAUCUCUGAUCAAGUAGUUUAUAAACUAGACUGAAGCAGAUUGAAACUUUGCUUACCUAGUCGCAACACACGCCUCAGCGAUACCAUGUCUUUAUUGUGAGUUAUUUUCCCAGUUGGAUUUGCUUCUGUACUUACUUGGUCUCCUACCUUAGCUAUUAUAGUUCCAUCUCCGGUAUACUCUUCUUUUUGUUGCUCCUCUGCUUAUACUUGUAUUCAUUUCCUUUAUUUUAUGCAGAGGACUCUUAUGGUUUCUUCACCCCUUUCGUCACUAGUAGUUGAUCAUGUUGAGGAUCUAUUGGGUAGUUCUCUCUUUUCUUACGGAGCUUGCCAUUAGCUCCUCCUCUAUCACUAGACACCCUUCCACAACUUCCAUAAAUGUGGCUAACAUUCAGUUGAAAUAUUUAUUUUUUUAGAGCUUUCAGAAUUGAUAAAGGAAUGACUUAACCUAGUGUAGUCUUCUAUUUGCUCUUUGGGUAGUCUUACCAACAGUACCCAACCUAGUAGGCUGAGGAUUGAGGUAGUUACAUAUACACUGGUUACUACUCUUCAAGGAAGGUUAGAGAUUGACCAGCAGUUGAGGAGGCGUGUGCAACUAGCUAACAACCUUGUAGCCGACAUUGCCGAGAAAGAGUAAAGGUGUAAGAAUAGAGAGUCAUGGAGAUAGAGAAUGAAG